ACGGAGAUGAUGACACUCCUGGACUGACCCCUGUGAUGGUCACUCGUGUUCGUACUGUCUGAUCCGG
ensembl:snoRNA